rnacentral:ribozyme from 1 species
UCGCUGGCAAGGUCUGUGACAAGUCCCUGUAUCCUUCCUUCCAGCCGAAGAAGGGCCCGUCGUACAAGGUGUCCUCGAGCUGCCAGAAGUUCCUCAGCAGGACGCUGGAGAAGUUCCAGGAGAAGCGCCCCACAGCGACGGAGGCC